AACGAACGUUAGCGGCGCGCCUAACACAUGCAAGUCGAACGCGAGAGGGGCAACUCUCUUGAGUGGCGCACGGGUGAGUAACACGUAGGUAAUCUUCCCCCGAGUGGUGGAUAACCUUCCGAAAGGAGGGCUAAUACAGCAUAAGACCACGGCCUCGAAAGAGGCUGAGGUCAAAGCGGAGGAUCGCAAGACUUCGCGCUUGGGGAUGAGCCUGCGGCCCAUCAGGUAGUUGGCGGGGUAACAGCCCACCAAGCCUAAGACGGGUAGCUGGUCUGAGAGGAUGAUCAGCCACACUGGAACUGAGACACGGUCCAGACUCCUACGGGAGGCAGCAGUGGGGAAUCUUGCGCAAUGGACGAAAGUCUGACGCAGCGACGCCGCGUGGGUGAUGAAGGCCUUCGGGUUGUAAAGCCCUGUGGGGAGGGACGAAUAAGUUCCGGUUGAUACCCGGAGCGAUGACGGUACCUCCUUAGCAAGCACCGGCUAACUCUGUGCCAGCCGCCGCCGUAAGAC
rnacentral:rRNA from 1 species